rnacentral:rRNA from 1 species
AACGAACGCUGGCGGCAGGCCUAACACAUGCAAGUCGAACGCUCUAGCAAUAGAGAGUGGCAGACGGGUGAGUAACGCGUGGGAACCUACCUAGUGGUGCGGAAUAGCUCAGGGAAACUUGGGGGUAAUACCGCAUGAGCCCGAAAGGGGAAAGAUUUAUCGCCAUUAGAUGGGCCCGCGUAGGAUUAGCUAGUUGGUGAGGUAAUGGCUCACCAAGGCAACGAUCCUUAGCUGGUUUGAGAGAAUGACCAGCCACACUGGGACUGAGACACGGCCCAGACUCCUACGGGAGGCAGCAGUGGGGAAUCUUGGACAAUGGGCGCAAGCCUGAUCCAGCCAUGCCGCGUGAGUGAAGAAGGCCUUAGGGUUGUAAAGCUCUUUUGCCAGGGACGAUAAUGACGGUA